rnacentral:rRNA from 1 species
GACGAACCGUGCAAACGUUGUUCGGAAUCACUGGGCUUAAAGGGCGCGUAGGCGGGCUCGCCAGUCAGGGGUGAAAGCCCACGGCUUAACCGUGGAAGUGCCUCUGAUACUGCGGGUCUCGAGGGAGGUAGGGGCGUGCGGAACUUCCGGUGGAGCGGUGAAAUGCGUAGAUAUCGGAAGGAACACCGGUGGCGAAAGCGGCGCGCUGGACCUCUUCUGACGCUGAGGCGCGAAAGCGUGGGGAGCGAACAGG